CUCGCCAGAAACUCGCUCUCGGGUGUCCAGAAGAACGAUUCUCUGCCUUUUGGAAAGCUGAAGAACAAGGCGGUGUACGAGUCCAGCUUCUUGAGACGAAUAGACCUGUUACUGGUGCUCUUGUCUCUUAGGUGCGCGUCACGGCGCCGGAGUGAAGUCCGAAGUGGCAGGAAUUGAAGCCAAGACGAGUUAAAUCCACUGCUCCCACCUGCCUCAUGCGAAAACGGAAUGUUCGCCUACCUUGAAGAUCUACUGUGAGAUUAGAUAGGUCCUGUAACCUACGCCUAGUUUUUUAUCAUUACGUAUUCAUUACCAUUCCUGGAAAAUGAAGCUUAUAUUCAGUCUGUAUUGUAAUUUGGCCUAUUAUUGGAAAAUUGCCUCCGCCCUCACACCCCUUUUAUAAUUCAGUGUUAGUGUGAAAAUCAUGUAGUACAUCUUGCUCCCUUAAGUUAUCGUACUGGGAAUGGAACUGCCAGACAGAACAAAAAGUAUAUACGCUUUAAAUUAUUUUAAAAGCCCACUUUAAAAUAUCAGUUAAAAGCGGUAAUUUAUCUUAUCUACUUUUAUUUAUAUUAUUCCCAAGUUAUUUGUUAUGGCUGGAGUUUUGAGGAAGGGAGUGUAGUGACUGUGUGGUCGAGGAUAAGGCUAAAAAGGCCUCCUUGACCACCUAAGAAUUUGAUGAUCUGCACACAUUAAGAUUUCCACCUCCAGCCGGGCGUUGGUGCCAACACUCGGAAGGCAGAGGCAGGCGGAUCUCUGUGAGUUCGAGGCCAGCCUGGUCUACAAGAGCUAGUACCAGGACAGUCUCCAAAACCACAGAGAAACCCUGUCCACUCUAUUUCCCAAUUUUGCAGUCUGUUUUCAUAGAAGAGAAAGUGGUAAAUCAUGUUCAGGGUAGGACAGUGUUGCAGGGCUUGAGAGUUAGCCAUGCUAUUCAGAACAGUGUAACUUAACAUUGUUACAGAACAGUUGAAACUAAAGUAGCUGUUGCAGAUAACUUAGGCCAUGAAAAGCAAAACUACUGAUAAGUACAACAGCACUGAAUAUUUAGUUAGUAAACUAAAAUUGUAAGUAAAUAUACUAUGGUAGAAAUAGGCUAUAAUUAUACUUACAUAAAACAAAAUAUACAAAAUAGGAUGUCAUCACAAAUAUUGUGUUAAGUAAUAGUUCUCAGAUAAUGUUGCCUAAUUUUCAGUGCAUUCAUGUGCUAAUAAAUUUUGAAUGAAUAUUUUUUAAAAAAUACUCAGUUGGUCAAUAAAAUCACAUAUUCCUAUUUAAUGCAUUCCUCUUCCUGCUAUCAGAAAGUUUAAACUAUAAGCCAGUUCAUCCACAAAGACUAAGCCAGGAGAUGUUUUCUUUACCCCAGGAAUCUUCAUCAUGUAAUUUGCUUCAUCUCAGAAAGAUGAAUCAUUGGUAUGAGACGGAGGAUUCCAAGAUCAGCUUUGGGGAAUAAAUGUGUAUUAUAUUCUGCUCACAUCUAUGGUAUUUUCAGUGCUGUUAGUGUAGUGUAAUGAACCGUUUAAAAAAAAAUGGUUACAAAGAGGAGCAUGGCUGCACCGGCUCAUGGAACCACAGAAAUGGAUGUGUUUCUCACGACAUGGCACCAUAAGACCACGGUCUUCACAGAUGCCAAGGAGUUGAGCACUGGUGUUAAUCGCCAAGGGCUCCUCAUCAACCUCCGGAUGAGCAGUGGGUGCACAAAAGUGAUCAGUUCCUCGAUAAUGGAAUAAUGCUAGGCCAGACAAAACAGCCACCGGCCCCAGCCUCAGUACACCUGGCCUUUCCGGCAGAUAAUAUCUUCCAAGCCCUGUGCCUUGAACCUUUCUCCAGUUAUGAAGUCCCAGGAUUCUGGAGACAGUGGCAAUGAAUAAACUGCAGUAAGGACCCCACACCCAUCCCCUACAGGCCCAUUCCCCCAGUAAAAGAUUUUACUGUCAAAAUAAAAAUGGCUAAAGAA